GCUUGAUUUAUUUCACCUAAGAUAAUGUCCUCCAGGUUCAUCUCUAUUGUCAUUUGUGGCAUGGACCAUUUGUGACAAUAGAGAUGAACAUGGAGGAUAUUAUCUUAAGUAUU
ensembl:miRNA